GUAAAGAACACACUUCCCAGAGGAUUCUUGGAGCAAAAUAUUACACAAGGUCCAGGGCAAGGCAGGAUGGCCACCUCGCUCACUCAUCACAGCUGUCCUCUGACCUGAGCAGGGCCGUUCUGUCUCAGACCUGGAGACCCCGCACUCAGGGCGUUCAGGAACUCCCCGACCCACCAGGAGCCUCUCCUGGUGUCUCCCAGGGAUUGUCAAUAGUUCCAUUUUCCUUGAAGAACUUGUUUUCAG
rnacentral:lncRNA from 1 species